AUUGAACGCUGGCGGCAGGCCUAACACAUGCAAGUCGAACGCGUGGCGGACGGGAGAGUAAUAUCUGGGAAACUGCCUGAUGGAGGGGGAUCACUACUGGAAACGGUAGCUAACACCGCAUAACAUCAGAUGUGCCUAGAUGGGAUUAGCUUGUUGGUGGGGUAACGGCUCACCAAGGCGACGAUCCCUAGCUGGUCUGAGAGGAUGAUCAGCCACACUGGGACUGAGACACGGUCCAGACUCCUACGGGAGGCAGCAGUGGGGAAUAUUGCACAAUGGGCGCAAGCCUGAUGCAGCCAUGCCGCGUGUAUGAAGAAGGCCUUAGGGUUGUAAAGUACUUUCAGUGGGGAGGCGUUACCCGCAGAAGAAGCACCGGCUAACUCCGUGCCAGCCGCCGCGGUAAUAC
rnacentral:rRNA from 1 species